rnacentral:lncRNA from 1 species
ACCAGAACCAAUCAGAACCCUCCACAAAACUCACAAAACCCAACUCCAGAACAUUCUAUCACCUGCUGCUGGAGGAGGUUCCUGCCCUGCUGCUGGCUUCCUGUUGUGCUUCCAAAGAGACCUGUCUGCAAGAGUCAUUGAUUUCCUCUCUGUGUGUUCACCAGCUGCAGAACCAGUGCUUCAUCUUUUAAUCUCCAAUAUGAAAGGAACAACAGAGGUCACUGUGGACUUGUAUUCUUCAAAGUGAUUAAGGCAGAGCUGAGAGAGCUGGCAACAAGGCCAGCCUGCUCUUCAUUUAACAGACCCCAUGAUGAGAAACAGUCCAAAGGACUUCCAGUAACGGGGGACACAGGAAUAAAGAAAAAAAAUUAUACUGUAAGUUAUUUUCACACUAUUUAACCACUCCAGUCUGCUGUUUGCAAAGCAAAUACCUUCAUUCUUGGACCUUCACGUUCACUUGGACUUUCAAAGA